UUGGGUGCUGCCCCUGCCUAGCUGAGGCCUCCACGCCGUGGCUCACCACAUAGAGACACAGGUUUCUCCGUGUCUCCGGAUCCAUGGGAUUUCCUUGAUCGGCUCUGCCCCUGUGGAUUCCUGCCUGCCAGAGGCUGGUCCACAGAUUGUGGAAGCAGAAAGUGACCUUCCUCUCAUCUGGUCCAACUCCCUCAUUUUGGAAACUGAGGCUUGGAAUGAGGAAGAGAUUUGGCUUCAAAUGUCAGUAGCCAAAGACUGGGCCCAAGGUAAUUGAAAUAUAAAUAAUGCAAUGAUCAUCUGCCCUCCCAGCAUUCCCUCACGACAGCACCCAACUCUAGCUUUUGAUGAAGGAGCCAAGACCCAGAGAGGUGGCAUCAUUUACCCCAAUGGCAUCGUAUGACCAGCACAAUGAAGGAAACCAAAGGGGUAUUGUGACUUUUCCUCCCUCUUUCCCCUCCUUCUUUUGUUCUCUCCCUUCCCUUUCCUUCCCUUCCCAUCUCUUCCUUCCUUCUCCAUUUUCCUUCCCUCCCUCCAAACUUGUCUUUCUCUCUUCCUUUCUUUCUCUUCUCCUUCCUUCUUUCCUUUCUCCCUUUAUUAAAAAAAAAAAAAGGUGUUCUUUUUCCAUCCCACAGAUUGGAUGAAAAAAAAAGUUUAAUGCAUUUCAAAAAUAUUCAUGCUCAAGGAUCGUUCAAGACAUCUGGACCUUUUAAAAAGUUGUUACAAUUUUAAUAAAUAGGAUGUAUUUUAAAAUAUGUGAAAAAGACAUUCCAUUUAGUUAAGAUCAGAAACUCGUUAAAUUGCCUUUAAGAUCAUUUCUCUAUUAUAUUUUUAACCAAGGUAAAUUUCUAAGGGUUUUCGUUAUAUUAUUUCCAUAUCGUUCUCCAUAAUCACAUACAUUUGAUGCUUUCUAAAGCCUUCAUAAAUAUCACUGAAAAUAUUUGUCCCUUUUUGUAUUCUAAGUAUAGCCCACAUUCAGCAGACUUGUAGCAAACACACAUUUAGGCAAGAGGAUGAGGAGUGAGGAAACUAGAUCCUGAUGUCAGACAACUGAGCUGAAACUGGAUUCCGGGACUGAGUGUGUGCCAGACCUCAUCCAGGUGUGCAAAUAUGGAGGUAUGCCUGGUCGCCACUCCAAGAGGCUUGCAAACUAAAGGCUCUAGGGACACGUGAAUAAAAGGAGGAAGCAAGUAUCCCAGGUGCUGUGAAUCUCUCGAGAAGGGUAAGGGGCUGCUGAGGCAGGUCAGUUCCACUGGCGGCAGCCGGAGUGCAGCCAGAAGGAAACGCUCAGAGGUCCAUGCAGGAGUUUUGCCAGAACCUUAAAACAAGUAGGCAUCGGAAAAGGGCAGUGCAGGCAGCAGGAGCCACACAGUGGAAGGCUUAGUGGUAUUGAAGAGCGUCCUGUGUCUAGGAGAUAGCAUGUGUCUCCCGUACAGGACUGGAGCCUAAGAUACAGGCACAGGGAAAGGGAUGAAGCAUGGGGAGACUGAAACACUGAUAUUACGCACCUGAGCUGACACUCGAUGCCAGCACUCAGAUUCCCUGGCCAUUCUGUUUUUUUAGCGAAUCAAAAUGUCCUGAUCAAUGUGCACCCUAUUUCCCUGUGAUCUGCACCCCCAGGGGCCUCCAAGGAGCAGAUGGUGAGGAUGGGUCAGUACUAAACCCCCGCCUGACCUGGCAGGUCCAGUGCCAACCACCAGGCUGCCAGUCAACGAGCAGGUCCCUACUCCUCUCUGGACUUCCGUGACCCCAUCGGAAUAGUGUCAGAAGCCUGAGCAUGGGAUGACCGUGUCCUCUGCUCGGGUCUGCUGAACUCAAGGUGUCAGCCAGGCUGCACUCCAUUCUGGAGUCUCUGAGGGAAGAAUCCACUUCUGAGUUCAUUCAGCUUGUUGGCCAAAUCCACCUCUUUGAGGCUGGAGGGUUGUAGAGCAUUUCCUUUUCUCUAAGGCCCACAAAGCAACCUCUAUUCAUUCCUUAACACCCAACUCAAAUAUCAGGUCUUUGGGGAACCUUCCUUCAGCAGCAGCACAGCACAGCAGUGGGAAGAAAAUGGGCUUUGAAGUUCAUUGGAAUUUUGCUUCUGCCAUUUUCAAGCUGAGUGGCCUUGGGCAAAUUAUAUAAGCUCUCUGAGCCUUUGUUUCCUCAUCUGUAAACCAAGUACAAUGCAGUCUUCGAUAGUAAGUGCAUCUGACUGACUGAUAAGCAGAAUAAUAAUAAAAGCAGUGACCACAUAUGGUAUGCUUGCCAUGUGCUGGACACUAAGCAUGGCUAAGUGCUUUAUAUGCCUUUUUCACUUAAUCUGCCUACCAACCCAAUAAAGGAAAUUCUAUUAUUACUCCAUUUUGCUGAUGAGAAAACUGAGGUUUAAAUAAGUUGAACCCAGUCUUACCUGUCGCCAAAUCCUGUGCCCUUGGUCAUGAUGACAUAUUCCUUCCUAAAAGGUACUCAAGAAAUUGACAUCCCCUUUCCCUCUCUCUUCCCCUCCAUGCCCACCUCUGGACCAUCAGAAUUGCUUUUUCUUUCCAUGUGUCCCCAUAACCCUGUAUACCCCAAGGCCUCUCUAAUACCAUGUAAGACACAGUAUCAGAUUUUUUUCAUGUGUUUCUCUUUCCCCAAGCCUCCAGCAUUGGGUCUGGCAUAGGGCAGGGAUAGAGUACCAUAAUUCAAGUGAACUCAUGAAUUAUCUUCAGUCCUUUUAGGAAGUGACCAGGGUAUAAUUUAUAUAAUAAAAUGAUUAUUAACCUACAUAAAUAAAAGAGAGAAAACUGUCCCUUCCACUCCAUUCCCUUUCCCUCGUGUGCUCUCAGCUGAGGCGAUAGGCCCCAGAGGAAUUCAGCAGCAGACAGAUAAAAACAUCAAGGCCUGUUCCAGCUUCACACCAGAUCCUGGAAUUUAAUUUAACUUAUACAGACGUCGGUGUUGAUGCUCUUGGGGGCUCCCAGCGCAGCCUCACAGAACAGCUGGUAACAACUGUGAUGGGUUUGCCUUCACACCUCAGAUGGAAUCACAGGGGAAUUCCACAAAGGCAGGGCCCUGGAAAUCAUUUCACAGGAAGAGUCUCGUACGCUCCAAGGACCUCAGUUUCAGGACGAACUGCCGAGAUCAUGCAGUGAACCCGCUUUGUUUUUAAAACAGCCAAAAUGAGGCCCAGGGAUUUCCCCAACAUCACAUGCCUUCCAAGUUUCGAUGAGCAGCAUUAAGAAUGUAAACAACAGCAGCAUAUUACAGCUUGAGGUGUGCAGUUCUCGUACUUAAGAGCCUGUCUUUCCUUUUCCCCAUGUGUUCUGCAAUCAGUGUAGACUGUCACCAGCAAAGAGCAGACACAGGGUAGUUAAAGUGGCCCCAGUCACCGGGCAUGUGUUUUACAUGAGAUCCAGAUUACCAUCUGAACUCCCCACUUUGUUAUUUUUAUAUUAAAUUCUGACUUUUUAUAUUAAACUGUGACUAUUUUUAUAUUAAACUAUGACUCUUCCGUAUUAAACUCUGAUUCUGAAAGCAGAUAAUUCAGGGACAAAAACAGCUUUUAAAGUGAAACCAAUAUAGAACACAUUUCUUGUGAUCUUUUUAAUAAUUUUCUAUUGCCA
rnacentral:lncRNA from 10 species